rnacentral:rRNA from 1 species
UACGAAGGGGGCUAGCGUUGCUCGGAAUCACUGGGCGUAAAGCGCACGUAGGCGGAUUUGUCAGUCAGGGGUGAAAUCCCGGGGCUCGACCUCGGAACUGCCUUUGAUACAGCAAGUCUUGAGUUCGAGAGAGGUGGGUGGAAUUCCUAGUGUAGAGGUGAAAUUCGUAGAUAUUAGGAAGAACACCGGUGGCGAAGGCGGCCCACUGGCUCGAUACUGACGCUGAGGUGCGAAAGCGUGGGGAGCAAACAGG